rnacentral:misc_RNA from 1 species
GUCUUUUUAAUCUGUACCAUCGGCUGUUGUGUACAUAAUCUCUGGUUGUGAUAAAAACUUCAAAUAAAGUUAUCAAGUACUAACCUAUAACUAUUUAAUUUUGAUAAUUUAUAUUUGCUAUUGUAAAGAUUUAAUUUUGUACUGCUUUGAAAAUGGCGAAUUAUGUUAAGAAAAAGCUACAAUUACCUAAAUCAGUAUUAGACAUGAAGUUUAUGAAGAAAACAAAAGAUCGUAUCGAAAGGGAAAUAGAAAAUACUCAAGAUCAUGAUGGCUUAUAUUCCAAUAUUAUUACAAAUGAAAUGCGUCACGCUACUGGUAACUUUAUCACAGAAACCAGUUUUAUAGUUUGUGAAGACUUAUUAGAGGGCAGAUUGUCAUAUAAAGGCAUGAAUCCUGAAAUAGAGCGUCUCAUGGAGUUGGAAAGCAAAAAACAAGAACCAGCUCCUGAUAUGCAAAAAGAUAUAUCCGAUGAAAUACUGGCCAAAAAAAUGCAAUCCUUUAAUAAUAGAAAGAGAUCUUACAAUAGCCCUAGUAAAUAUAAUGUCAUUAAAAGAAAAAAGUGAUUAAUAAUUAUCCAAAUGUUCUAUUGCAAUCCAGCAACACAGUUUUGCUAUUUAUGUCUGUAAUGGUUGGUUGCCACUUUCUAUGAAGCUGGCUUGUCUACCAAAAAAAUUAUAUACUUAACCCUUUGCAACCCAUUGUCACCGUAUUUGCAACAUUAAAAUGCUAACAUUAAAUCCACUGUUGAGACUAUGGUGAUGUAGUUGGUUUACUGACUCAGCUCCCUUAAUACUUAGCACAGGUAUGUACUUGUAACUAAUAUAGUGCUGGAGUUAUUGGUAUCCUCUAUGAGUUACUAGGCUGGAGUGCAAGAGGUUAACAUUUUAAGAGCUGUUGUUUUUAAGAAUAAAUAAUUAAUUUUAGAUAUAUGCACAUUUUAUUU